GCUAAACCGCUGAGACGACAUUUCAGUAAACGAAUAGUGGAUGAGUUUAUAUUGGGUUUCAGUCUUCAAAAGUCAUUGAAGCAAAGCAGACGAAAAUCGGAAACUUAAAAAUCUUGAUUUCAUCAUGAGUCGCAACUGGGAUCUUGAUAAUUGCCAGGACGAUUACAAUUAUAACCUAUUUGAUCAUGACGACCUGUACGAUCAUCAGGACCUUUACGAGGACCCAUAUAACGACGAGAGCCUACAUGGUCACCAAGACUUUUUCCAUUCUAACUCUUAUCGCGACGGAAACUACCAAGGUGGAGGUCGAAAUCAAUCAUCCACAUCUCGACGCAGGAGUUCCAACUCUAACUCACGUGGAUCUCGCGCAGCUAAUGGAAAUAAUCCGUCGGUUUCGCAAAACACCGCACCACGGACUUUCCAUUCCGGUUUUAUUAAAGUGUCUCAUGCGCCAGAAGCUGUGUCGCAAAAACCCAGCUCAUCAAAAUCAAAUCCAUCGAAGUCUUCAUCACCCGGCAACAAUUUUGUUGUAAACAUCGUUAAUAUUAACCAUGAAUAUUAAUAUGAAAACUAUGUAUAAUAAAAACUAUAUAAUUGAUUGUGAAAAUCAUGGCAAACACUGAAAAGAAUUAAAUAAAUUUUUAACCAAAACCGAAA